rnacentral:rRNA from 1 species
GUGGGGAAUUUUGGACAAUGGGCGCAAGCCUGAUCCAGCAAUGCCGCGUGUGUGAAGAAGGCCUUCGGGUUGUAAAGCACUUUUGGCAGGAAAGAAAUAGUGCGUGCUAAUACCAUGCGCGAAUGACGGUACCUGCAGAAUAAGCACCGGCUAACUACGUGCCAGCAGCCGCGGUAAGACGUAGGGUGCAAGCGUUAAUCGGAAUUACUGGGCGUAAAGCGUGCGCAGGCGGUUUUGUAAGACAGGUGUGAAAUCCCCGGGCUCAACCUGGGAACUGCACUGGUGACUGCAAGGCUAGAGUGUGUCAGAGGGAGGUGGAAUUCCGCGUGUAGCAGUGAAAUGCGUAGAGAUGCGGAGGAACACCGAUGGCGAAGGCAGCCUCCUGGGAUAACACUGACGCUCAGGCACGAAAGCGUGGGGAACAAACAGGAUUAGAAACCCCUGUAGUCC